rnacentral:rRNA from 1 species
GACGUAGGGGGCCAGCGUUGUUCGGAAUUACUGGGCGUAAGGGGUUCGUAGGCGGUGCGGCAAGUUGGGAGUGAAAUCUCUGGGCUUAACCCAGAGGCUGCUUCCAAAACUGCUGUGCUUGAGUGUGGGAGAGGCGCGUGGAAUUGCAGGUGUAGCGGUGAAAUGCGUAGAUAUCUGCAGGAACACCCGUGGCGAAAGCGGCGCGCUGGACCACUACUGACGCUGAGGAACGAAAGCUAGGGGAGCAAACAGG